AUACUCUGGUUUUUCUUCAAAUCGUAUAAAUCUUUCGCCUUUUACUAAAGAUUUCCGUGGAGAGGAACAGUGGUGAGUUUUUAAUAAAUUUUUUGCAGCUCUGCCUCAGCGGAGCU